UGGAAUCGCUAGUAAUCGCGGAUCAGAAUGCCGCGGUGAAUACGUUCCCGGGUCUUGUACACACCGCCCGUCACACCAUGGGAGCCAGGAAUGCCCGAAGCCAGUGGCCUAACCGCAAGGGAGGAGCUGUCGAAGGCAGGCCCGGUAACUGGGGUGAAGUCGUAACAAGGUACC
rnacentral:rRNA from 1 species